CUCUUAUCUUCUUGUAUAUUGCAACCCAAUUUUUUUCUCAAGGUCCAAACGAUUGUUCUCAAUCCAACUCAAUGAAGCCUUUAUAUCCACCGACUUGUGUACAAAUCCAAUCCCACCAAUGACCUCCCACCAAUGACCCCCUAUAGGGUCAUAUAUCAGAGGCACAAUUCACAUAUGUUCUUACAUCUUAAAAUUAAAUCAGAGGCACAAUUCACAUACGUUCUCACAACUUAAAACCAACAUUGUUGAAACUUUUUCUUGUCUCUGGUUCACCUUCAAGUUAAAGCACAUUACUCAGUAUUAGCGGCAAACUUUUUUGUCCAGUCUCAGCCAUUUUAUAUGAAGAGUAAAUUACAGGGUGACCCCAGAAGUUGGGUCAAAAUUAUGGGAUGAUCCUUGCUAAUUGAAAAUGUAAUAAUUUAGUCCAUAAUCCAACGUCACACCUCAAUGCCACUCAUCCACAUGCCUUGCGCAUGGCCAAAGUGAAGGGUGAAGAGAGAGAACCCUCAGACUAAUGGCGAAUUUUAUUAAAUUUUGGACAGAAGAAUUCUAUUUUUAAUGAAAUUAAAAUUCAAGGACCAAAUUGUUACAUUUUCACAUAGCCAGACCAACUUAUAAUUUUAACCAAACAUCAAAAGUCAUCAUCAUGUAAUUUAUCCUUACAUAAACUCUCACCUUCUUGUGUGGAAUGCCUGCUCCCCAGCUUCUUAAAUCCAUUGCCCCUCUUCCAUCUGUUAAGUGGAAUGCCAACAGAAUUAAAAAGCAUCGCCAAUUUUCAGAACAAAUCCAUCUACUGUUACUUUUGCACAUAAUAGAACAAAUCUAAUCAAAUUUGUUGAAAAUAGCGAAGGAAGGCGGUUAAACUGUGCAAAAAAACAUCAAUGAGGAAUUAAUCAAAACUUUUUAUUAGUUUCUGUUUCCACCCCUUGCUAUGACAUUUAGACACUAUCAUGAAUAACAGUCCUUAUUUGCUGAUUUGCU
rnacentral:misc_RNA from 1 species